rnacentral:rRNA from 1 species
UACGGAGGAUCCAAGCGUUAUCCGGAUUUAUUGGGUUUAAAGGGUGCGUAGGCGGCCUAUUAAGUCAGGGGUGAAAGCCGGUAGCUCAACUAUCGCAGUGCCUUUGAUACUGAUGGGCUUGAAUAUACUAGAGGUAGGCGGAAUGUGACAAGUAGCGGUGAAAUGCAUAGAUAUGUCACAGAACACCGAUUGCGAAGGCAGCUUACUAUGGUAUUAUUGACGCUGAGGCACGAAAGCGUGGGGAGCAAACAGG